CCGAAAAGAAAAAGUGUAUAUUGAAGUUCCUCAGGAUGAGGAGGAAGAAGAGGUUCCACAAUAUGAAGAAGUAACCAGAUAUGAGAAGGAAGUAAUCCAUUACGAGGAGGAAGUCCAACAUUAUGAAGAAGUUAGUCACUAUGAGGAAGAAGCUCCUCAGUAUGAAGAAGUUCCUCAAUAUGAAGAGGAAGAAGUCACCCAUUAUGAAGAAGAAGCUGCUUAUUAUGAAGAGGAAGUUCCUCAAUAUGAGGAGGAGGAGGUGGAAAUUCCUCAAUAUGAAGAGGAGGCUCCACCACCAGUUAGAGUGCCUGAGGUGCCCAAGAAGGCUGUUCCAGAGGAAAAAAUACCUGUGCUGAAGAAAAAGGAAGCUCCUCCAGCAAAAGGUAUAUCAUCGCUUGAAGUUAGCAGGAACUCUCUGAUUAUAUAACUUAUACCGUGUUUCAGAUACUUCACUUGAACAUUACUUUUCU
rnacentral:lncRNA from 1 species